CCGGGCGGUAAGGCUGGAGCUGCCCCCGGACGGGAGGCGGCCGAUCGCUAGGCGUUUCUAGCAAGAAUCGGGACUGCAGGAUGAAUAAGAGAUACUUACAGAAAGCAACAAAGGGAAAACUGCUAAUAAUAAUAUUUGUUGUAACGCUGUGGGGGAAAUUAGCAUCUGGGGCAAAUCACCAUAAAGCUCACCAUGUUAAAACUGGGACAUGUGAAGUGGUGGCUCUUCACAGAUGCUGCAAUAAGAAUAAGAUAGAAGAAAGAUCACAGACAGUGAAGUGUUCCUGCUUCCCUGGGCAGGUAGCAGGUACCACCCGGGCAGCUCCUUCUUGUGUUGAUGCUUCAAUAGUGGAGCAGAAAUGGUGGUGCCACAUGCAACCAUGUCUUGAAGGGGAGGAAUGUAAAGUUCUUCCAGAUCGUAAGGGAUGGAGCUGUUCCUCUGGGAAUAAAGUGAAAACAACUAGGCUAUGGCAGUAUUCCUGGAGCCAAAUGUGAGUGCACUUCCUCAAAAUGCCAGCAGUGGAAGCUGGUAAACAAGUGGGGAAAAAAUCACCAGAGGAAUCUCUGAAGCUUGUGACAAAGGCAGAAAACACAUCAGUACCGCACUAACAGAACAGCAGGUACUCUUAUAGUGAAGAUAAAAUUACAGGCAAACGUGUAAAACUCCUCAAGUCCGAAUGGAGAAGUAGAGAAAGGAGGUUUCUGCUGUGCCUGAUGACAAUUUUUGUUUUUCCACACACAAAAAAUAUUCUGGCUCCACGUUGGAGCACUAGUUGUGAUGAAUCCUAGUCUUGGUCGGAUUCUAAGGAAGGGCCAGAACGUUCGUUGAGGAAUAAAGAAUAAACCACUCCAGAAACUGAGUUCCAGCCCCGGUUUAUUACUCACAGAGCAGCAGGUAACCCGAUAGCUAAAGACGUAUCAAACCAGUCUCAAGGCCGAUAACGUUAAAUACAGCACAUAGGAAUUUCAUUCCUCCAGGCAAUCCUUGAAGAGAAAUUUUAUACUGCUGGGGUGUAUCCUUCAGAAUCAAUUGUUUCAAUGAGAACCUGGCUUGUAAUCAGCAGCAGCCUUGAGAUCUAAACUACUGGAAAGUUAUUUUGAACUUCUGUGUUACAAAUAUUUCAACUGAUUGAACUGUGUACACUUGUAAAAUUGCACUUGCUGAGGAAUUUGCAGCUGUAAUCAUGAGCCAAUAUUCUAAAGGUGCAGAAAAGCAGCAAACUUUUGAGUUCUCCAUUGCAGAUCAGUGGCUUUUCAUCUUGAAGAAGUCAACCUCUGAAAUAUAUUGGAUCCUUCACUUUAAAAUGAUCCCUGGUCCACUGCUCAGAUUGCUGGUGGGACUGCACACUGCUUUAAUUAAAUUUCUGUUGCAGAAAUUGUCCUCUGGCAUGGCGCAGUUUUAGACAUUUUUAUUUGUGUUCUAAUCUUGCAGCUCUCAAAGGUACAUAUUUAAAUAUCUUGAAGUUGCUUUGUUAUAGGAAUGGAAUUAUAUAUCCAUUGUUAAUAAUUAUUGUUGACAAGUAAUAGUUAUCUGAAUACAUCAGUCAUAUUAGAAUGUAUAGUCAGGUUGACAUGUUUCCCUAAGGCUAACCAACUACUGCAGCUUAACAGUUAAAGAAAGUAGUGGUCAAAAACUCAAUUACCACUUCUGUUUAAGGCAUUUUAUGUGUUUAAUAUAUACAUUUCCAUUUAGUUCAAAGGAAAUGGUUGUUCCCAAUAUGUACUUUACUUUCCUAACCUUUAAUUCAUUUAAAUUGAUGGUAAGCAGUCAAUUACACUAUUUCAUCCCUUUUUUAUAAAGGUAGGCAGGGAUGUAAAUGAGUUUUGCAAUUAUGAUAUUGGAUGGUAAUCAUUCAGAAUUUUUGUCUUUUUAUUAAAAAAUAAAAUCUAUUGCUUGAACCUAAGUACUGAUGGAUGCUUAUGUAGAUGUCUGCUCAGUUUGUUUGCCAUAAAGGAAAAAAGUCCUAGUGCUCUCCCAGUUUUACACUUCAUGGCUAUUUUGCUUGCUUACAGUAAUCCAAUUCAGAUUGUUUUGUUUUGUUAGAAAUUCUUGAACUUUGCAAUGUGUUGUUACAUGAAAAAAAAAUUCCUCAAUAUUUAAAGGCCUUAAGCAUCUUUGAGCUUUUUUCUAAGUUAUUACAGAAUGUAUGAUUUUAUACUUCAUUUAAUGUAUAUUGUACCAUCUGUAAUGUUGAUACAAAAGAAAUUUGGCAAUUACUUUUGGUGACACUACAUAAACAUACUGAUUAGAGGGAGUUCUGACUGUCUGCUUUGGUGAAUUGAAAUGAAAGCCACACAGACUUAAUGGUAGUCAAAAAUACAUACAGGUAAGCUUGUUUAAGUCCUGUGUGGUUACCAAACAAAGCAAACACACAAACAAACAAAAAACACCUCAAAAAAUGAAUAGAAGGAAAUGGUUUAAACAUCACAAGCCAUUGACAUGGCUAGUUUAGUUAUAUAUUAAGUUCCAUGAUGGAUGAACACUCUGGCGUGCUCUGCCUGUCACUGUAGCCCCUGCUGCUCCAAAACCAUUUCAUUACCUCUGCUGUAUUAUUGCACAGGAGAGCUUAAAUAAAAUAAAUGACUGUUUGGAAUAAAAUUGAGAAGUAUAUUCUAUCAUUCUGCUGGGACAUAAUAAAAAAUAUGUUGACAGAAAAAGAUCUUAUUUUCUGAUUAAAAUUUAAUUAGAAUAAACUGUUUGUAGCAGAAACUAGGUCUCUUGGUAUUUUAGGAUGGAUUAGUAUUUUAUGGAUUUGUGCUAAGAGGUUCAGAAUGGAAGGUAGCAUCUUAAAGAGGUUGUCUGGGACAGUGCAAAGUGUAAAUGUGCUGUUUUGUAAAAUCUGAAUAUGACCUCUAUUUGGUCAAAAAUCUAUAUCAUGCUUCUCAAUACUUGUUUUCUUUGUUUCCUUGUUCCUAAACAGCGCUGAAAAUACUGUAUUAUAUACAAGUGUAGCACAUGCAUACCAAUAAAUGAAAAUAAAUGGAUUUUCAAAUAUACUGAA